rnacentral:rRNA from 1 species
UACGUAGGGGGCAAGCGUUGUCCGGAUUUAUUGGGCGUAAAGAGCGUGUAGGCGGCCAUACAGGUCAGCUGUGAAAACUCGAGCUCAACCUCGAGACGCCGGUGGAAACCAUCAGACUAGAGUCCGGAAGAGGAGAGUGGAAUUCCUGGUGUAGCGGUGAAAUGCGCAGAUAUCAGGAAGAACACCCGUGGCUAAGGCGGCUCUCUAGUACGGUACUGACGCUGAGACGCGAAAGCGUGGGGAGCGAACAGG